GUGCUGUUUAUUUUCAUAAAAUAUCUUUAUACUCCCAUUUAGAAUCAUGAUGAAGAUCGUAUGAAGAAAAUUUGGAGUUUCUUCGGCGGCGGUGCACCACUCCAUAUACACGAUUAGCAAUAUCAUUAGGAAGCUGAUGAAGUGAUGAAUAACAAGAAAAAGUGUCGCAGGGCUGUGUUUGUUUAAUACUAUAAUUUUUUGAACAGUAGUACAGUAUAUUAUGAAUAUUUACUUAAAUUAUAUUUAAUUUUUAUGGUUUUUUUUCUGAUAAUAUACUGUACUACGGUUUUAGGUGUUCUUUUUAUUUUAAUAAUACAUUGAAAAAUUACCAAUUUUUUCAAUUUUUUUUCUUAUCACAAAGCAAGUUUGUCUUUGUGUAUGUUUAAAUUUAUAUUUUUUAUAGUUAUUGUAUUGUUUAACUUUCUUAUAAAAGAGAGUGAGGAAUUAAAAAGGUGGCCACCGAACAGAAAGUUAAACUGCAAUAUACUAUAAUCAUUUUAGUUCUUGUUUACAUUUUUAACUGAUAAUUUAUCAGUGAUAAAUUAUGAAUAUAAAAUUUCAAAUUAAUUUAAAUUCAAAAAUAAAAGAACACCAACAUAAAUUUCUUAAACAUUAAAAUUUUACUUUAAGUUUAAAUUACAUUUAAUCAGCACAUUAGUUGAAGUUUUAUAGGAACCGAACAUUUGGCUGGAUCAUGGACUACCCAUCGUCGGAGAAUUUGUCACAAAGCUGAUGGGAAAUGUGUCGGCACUCGGCUUCGUUUCACCCGGAGGAAGAUUAGCAGCAUCAAUAAGAAGCUCAUCUUAAUAUCAACUGUCCAAAGAAUUGUGAAGAAGAAGAAGUUGUCACAAAGCUGAUGGGAAAUGUGUCGGCACUCGGCUUCGUAUCAACCCGGAGGAAGAUUUGCAGCAUCAAAAAGAAAUUCAACUGAUAAUCAACUGUCAAAAGGUGAAGAAGAAGUUGUCACAAAGCUGAUGGGAAAUGUGUCGGCACUCGGCUUCGUUUCAACCCGGAGGAAGAUUUGCAGCAUCAAAAAGAAAUUGAACUGAUAAUGAACUGUCGAAAGGUGAAGAAGAAGUUGUCACAAAGCUGAUGGGAAAUGUGUCGGCACUCGGCUUCGUUUCAACCCGGAGGAAGAUUGGCAGCAUCAAUAAGAAGCUCAUCUUAAUUUAGUUGUCCCCCCUUUACGCAUUAGCGCUCAUCUCUCAUCCACUCAUCCAACACAUUGACUAUCGCCGGCCGGCAACACACACAUAUUAUACACAUUACCCGUUUUAUAUUAUAUAAAAUUAUUAAUAUCUACAUAGUUUAAGUUAUUGUAUAUUUUUUUUAUUAUUAUUUGAAUGCAUUCAUAUGAUCUGUGGCGUAUUUAGGAAUUUUAGGAUAAGGGCAACACAUAUUUUGCCGCCUCUCCUCUAUUAAAAAAAAUUAAAAAACUUCUAUGCCACGCAAUGGUGAAACUGAUAAUACCAUAGAAUACCAUGUUAUAUAAAUACUAUAGUAUUUUAUACCUCCAUGGCACACAUUUGUUGUGAAAAAUAUUAAUGAUUGACGUCACUGCGACAGUACUCUUAAAGUACGAAAUAAAAAUUUGCUGCCCCUCUAAAUCUUUAAAAAUUUGCCGUUCUGGACAACUGGACCCAAAGCCCCUACCUAAAUACGCCCCUGCAUAUAAUGCGUUCGAUGUGGAUUAGGCCUACUGGGGACACCACAAUAAAAAAACGCGCCUCGUGUAAUACCUCAUAAAGUUAUUAAACAAUACGGACAAUGUUAUUGUACGUCGUUUAAUAAUAAAGGUGGUGUGGAA